rnacentral:rRNA from 1 species
UACGUAGGUGGCAAGCGUUGUCCGGAUUUACUGGGCGUAAAGAGCGCGCAGGCGGUCGUUUAAGUCGAAUGUGAAAGCCCCCGGCUCAACUGGGGAGGGUCAUUCGAUACUGAUCGACUUGAAGGCAGGAGAGAGAAGUGGAAUUCCCGGUGUAGUGGUGAAAUGCGUAGAUAUCGGGAGGAACACCAGUGGCGAAGGCGGCGACCUGGACAGAUAUUGACGCUGAGGUGCGAAAGCGUGGGGAGCAAACAGG